GUUUAACUCAGAAACUACUACUAUACUUUCUGGGUCUUUAAAUGUCUUUCUGUAUUAUUAAGCUACUACAAAUUCCUCCAGUGUGAGAGCUCUAAUAAUGAAAUUUUGGAAGUAAUAUAAUCUGGGCCUUAUUUCUGAUACUGUUUCAGCACAGCAAGUCACAGGUGCUGAGCUACAGCCCUGGCAGGAGAACAGCUGCCUGAAGGACCCUGAGAAUUCAGCAAGGCUCAUGUGUUUGCAGGCACUGGAGUAAUCCUAUCACACUGGAAUCCAGUCUGCGGAUAGGAGCAAAGGAAAAGGCCCAGGAGAGGGAGUCCCAUGGACAUCUUUUCUUGCAGAAACAGCAGUAUAGCAGCAGCAGCAAUUGGAAUUAAGAGGAAGAAAGGGUAAUAUGAGAACUUUGGAUACAGAGUCUGCCUCUAUAACCCAUCAGUCCCUUUGGCUAGGACCUGGAAAUCUGAGAUGCUAUUUGAAUCACAGAGCUAAAAGAAAACCAUCACAAGGAAAACUUACUGUCCUU